UACGGAGGGUGCGAGCGUUGUCCGGAAUCACUGGGCGUAAAGGGCGCGUAGGUGGCGCGGGUAGUCAUCGGUGAAAGCUCAGGGCUCAACCCUGAGUCGGCCGGUGAUACUCCCGUGCUUGAGUGUGGUAGAGGCCAAUGGAAUUCCGGGUGUAGCGGUGGAAUGCGUAGAGAUCCGGUAGAACACCGGUGGCGAAGGCGGUUGGCUGGGCCACAACUGACACUGAUGCGCGACAGCGUGGGGAGCAAACAGG
rnacentral:rRNA from 1 species